rnacentral:snRNA from 1 species
AAUUACUGUGGGGUUAAG